rnacentral:tRNA from 1 species
AGCAGGGUGGCCUAAUGGAUAGAGCAAGUCAGAAAGUCAGAAGUCAUGGGAGUCAGAAAGACCUGGGUUCAAAUCCCGGCUCUGCUG